rnacentral:lncRNA from 1 species
ACUGUAAAUUUUCCACUUUUAAAGGUAUUUCAGUAAUUUAUCUAUUUUAGGGUUUUUCAUGCAUAUUCCUACCUUUCACGUACUAACAGAAUCACGUACCGAGGGUUCUUACCGAAUUGGGCCCGUUGGCCCAUCAUUCCAAUUUUGGCCUAUUAAGCCCAAAAAUAUCGAGGGCAGAGAAAUCAUGCACUUUGCAGUCCAAAUUUUGCAGCUUACCAAA